GCGAAGCCUGAUCCAGCAAUGCCGCGUGAGUGAUGAAGGCCUUAGGGUUGUAAAGCUCUUUUACCCGGGAUGAUAAUGACAGUACCGGGAGAAUAAGCUCCGGCUAACUCCGUGCCAGCAGCCGCGGUAAU
rnacentral:rRNA from 1 species